GGCCUUGGCGGCAGCCUACACAUGCAGUCGAACGGUAACAUUUCUAGCUUGCUAGAAGAUGACGAGUGGCGGACGGGUGAGUAAUGCUUGGGAACUUGCCUUUGCGAGGGGGAUAACAGUUGGAAACGACUGCUAAUACCGCAUAAUGUCUUCGGACCAAACGGGGCUUCGGCUCCGGCGCAAAGAGAGGCCCAAGUGAGAUUAGCUAGUUGGUAAGGUAACGGCUUACCAAGGCGACGAUCUCUAGCUGUUCUGAGAGGAAGAUCAGCCACACUGGGACUGAGACACGGCCCAGACUCCUACGGGAGGCAGCAGUGGGGAAUAUUGCACAAUGGGGGAAACCCUGAUGCAGCCAUGCCGCGUGUGUGAAGAAGGCCUUCGGGUUGUAAAGCACUUUCAGUUGUGAGGAAAAGUUAGUAGUUAAUACCUGCUAGCCGUGACGUUAACAACAGAAGAAGCACCGGCUAACUCCGUGCCAGCAGCCGCGGUAAUACGGAGGGUGCGAGCGUUAAUCGGAAUUACUGGGCGUAAAGCGCACGCAGGCGGUUUGUUAAGCUAGAUGUGAAAGCCCCGGGCUCAACCUGGGAUGGUCAUUUAGAACUGGCAGACUAGAGUCUUGGAGAGGGGAGUGGAAUUCCAGGUGUAGCGGUGAAAUGCGUAGAUAUCUGGAGGAACAUCAGUGGCGAAGGCGACUCCCUGGCCAAAGACUGACGCUCAUGUGCGAAAGUGUGGGUAGCGAACAGGAUUAGAUACCCC
rnacentral:rRNA from 1 species